GUGAUUAAAAACUAGCAGGAAAGAUGUAGUUGCAAAAAAAUAUUCAUUACAACACAAUUAUUAAUGUUGUAUAACGUAGAAUAGCUUUUGUUAUUCAGUUUGCCCAUAUUGUAUUGAAUUCCACUAUGAUGCUAUCUUUAUGCGAGUCAUGUUUACUGUUGAAUAAUGAUACUUUACUUUCAUUUUCACUGUAGAGCGAUUCAUUAGUAUUGUAUAUGCGGUGCAUUUUCACUGUA
rnacentral:lncRNA from 1 species